GCCAGCCUCGCCGUUUCUUCUUUUCCACGCGCGACAACUCUUGCCCGAGCCCUCGCCGCGCGCCCGAUCUCCUCCGUGCCCUAACCGCUGGCCCAACGGUUCUCCUCUUCUUCAUUUCUUCCGCCCGACGCCACUGUUCUUCCGCCGCAGAGCCCUAUUUCUUUCUCCUCUCUGUGCCUGUGCCCGCGCGAAGCCUCAGCCGAGCCAUCUCCGGCCUAUGCCCUAGCCGCCGGCGACGCACGGAGCAACGCCGCAAAACCCCCUGGUGCCCUAGUCGACACCGAUCACAGCCGUCGCCUCUCGCCGUAGAGGACUCAGAUCGCCGCCCCUUUUUGUCAGCGAGUUUUGGCCGGAAGAGGGAGUAUCAAGCCCUCUCUUGAUCAGCCCGGUUCUCCACUGCCGAGCCCUCUUCCCAUCUGUUAAUUGUCGACGCCAGUCAAGUUGCUGUUUCCCAUCCUUUCCUCUCUUCCGGCAGAGCAGAGCCGUUGACUCCUUGUUCUUGGGCCAUGCCUUAGCACAGUAGCCGGAUCCUUGAUCACCUCCGACCAGUGGAAAGGAAGAGGGGAAAAAUUUCAAGCGGGAAUUGUGUACUGUGGGGAGUUCCUAGUUUCGGCAGCAACCAUUCAGUAUUCCCUUUUACCAGCAGCAUUCAACCUUAGUUGGGUAGUAACUCUUUAAUUCCAGCAUUUUCUUGUUCUCGAAUAAGCUGUGGAACUUGAAGUAAGGACUUUGAUUCGGGACGGUAUCUCGACGAGUAUCUUGAUUACCGGAUUGGACCACUUUAUU